AGUUGUUACAAAACAGAUUUCCUAAUCGUCGUAUGGAUUCUUUAGGCUCGUGCUACUGGGAUUCUGGGGCUAAGGGCAGUGCAGAGUGGUUCCAAUGCAUUGCUUCGUAAACUGUCGGGUAAAUUGAACGCUCAUAUUCGCUCCAAAUGGAUUGAGUACCACAGAUUAAAUUGCUGGAUGCAUCAUCGUUGCCCAAAAGCUGGAUCCGGCGAGUCAGGCCAAAUGGGAGUACCAUUUGAAGGACCAAGUCUUUAGAAAUUUAGAGUCAACGUGGGAUUCCAUGCAGGAUGCAGGAGACUCUGGACUCUGAAGGCUAUGGAUUUCGACUUGGCACGCUAUAUAUUAGGCAACCAGGUUGGAAAUAAUCGUAAUCGUAAUAUGCGUAGGCAAUCCUUUCUCGCCACAAAUCUUAAAACCCCACAUAAGCCCCACACACUGCGUUACCUGGGAAACCUCGUUUUCGUCACACGAAAGAUCACAGCUUACUGUGAAAGGCUUGAGUUAUUCCUAACUCUUCAGCUGUGCGGGAGUAUCGAACGGGCGGAUCAGGCUUUAUCAUAAUUGGACAUCAACAUCGUUAAGCAGUAAGGAUCACCUCAUAUGACCAGCGGAGGCCUGACUUAGUGAUUCCAUCUUAUCCCAGCGCAAGCGUAGCUACCAGCGGCCUCCAAAGGCUUUAUCGCAGUAGUGCUGCAAUGGUGUUUGUGAUUGACUGGAGUUUGGCAUUUCAAUAUAAGUUUAAAUUAGGAUCUUUUAAAAUUUUACCUACAGCUCGACAAUGUCAACGUGAACUUGGCCCCAACUUUACGCAUGUCAUGGAGUAGAUAUUUUGAGGUCGUUUGAGGUCAACAACCCACAACAAUAAAUACUUAUGAUAAGAUACCUA